rnacentral:rRNA from 1 species
GAGUUUGAUCGUGGCUCAGGACGAACGCUGGCGGCGUGCUUAACACAUGCAAGUGGAGCGACGAACCAGGGCUUGCCCUGGGGCAGAGCCGCGAACGGGGUAAGUAACACGUGGGUAACGUGCCCCGAUGACUGGGACAACCCGGGGAAACCCGGGCUAAUACCGGAUAUGCCCCCCGACAUCUGUCGGGUGUGUAAAGGAAGCUUCGGCCUCCGCAUCGGGAUCGGCCCGCGGCGCAUUAGCUUGUUGGUGAGGUAACUGCUCACCAAGGCUGCGAUGCGUAGCUGGUCUGAGAGGACGAUCAGCCACACUGGGACUGAGACACGGCCCAGACUCCUACGGGAGGCAGCAGUGGGGGAAUCUUGCACAAUGCGCGAAAGCGUGAUGCAGCAACGCCGCGUGCGGGAAGACGGCCUCGG